rnacentral:lncRNA from 1 species
UGUUAAGUCUUCGUAUCCUCAGUAAUAGUUAUAGAAUACAAACACAGGUUUUGAGCGUAAAACAACUCCUACUGCAGUGUCUACAAAAAAAAGGGGGUUUUAAUGGUUCCCUUAAAUGUAUUUUUUCCCUGUUAAUAUGGGAGUACAUAUUACAGUUUGAAAUUGCAACAGCAACAUGACGCCCAUGUGCUCCUUGCAACAUUAACAAACCUCGAUUUCCCUUAAUAGAAUUCUACAGCUCCGGUUUUCCCAGUAAAUAGAACUAUUUGAAUCAUGUUUGAAAGGCAGUUAUCCAGUUUCCUUGACAGUAUAAUUUAGUCGGCAAAUAGUAUUUUUUCGGGUUGAUGAAAAGCUAGUUUUGUCAAUAUUAUCCUUUCAAAAGCGAAAAUCCACCCCAAUUAUUCUUUUUUUAGGACCCAGUAGAUAUAUUUUGCGAAUCCUUAUAAUUAGAGAGAUAUAUUGGCUAGUUCCAUAAAAUCCUAUAGCUGUAGUUGCGAAACUAUCGGGAAUCGAACAACUUUCUGGAGAAGUUGUUUCACUUCAGAUUCAAAAAAAAAAAAAAAAUCAAGUCGGACAUUAAAAGUGUACGGUCUGGAAACAGAAACUCAAAUCCAUUAUUUAGCCUAACCGCGGGUUACUAUCAGGCAUUGCUAACCAAGUGUAAUACCAAGUUCUGCAAAGUAACGAAAGCAGCUGGGAAAAGCAUACGCGAAACAGGGAACAAAGAAAUUUAUUUAUAUUGUUUCUUCACAAACCAUUCUGAUGAAUGCUGCCCGAAAUCGCCUAGCCCCCAUUUCUUUCAACUUUGGUCUUAAAGGAGUAUUCAUCCGAAAAGUUGCAACGUACGAUCCUUCUUUUAUUUUCCUGACUUGUGAGCUCACCUGAUUGAGAUAUGCAAAGCGGUACAACAAAUCAUACUGUCGGUUCAUUAAUCAAGCAUGUCAGACGACUUAAAUUCAGCCACGUUCCAGAUCAGUAAGUUACUUGUACAAGGAUUUCUUUUCAUACUUUAAAGACUCUUCAAGCGCACGAAAAUGGAAUCGAAAACGUUGGCAGCACAUUAAUAUAAUCAAAAGGACUCAGUUAGUAUUAGCCGAUUUGCUGCGUUAUGUUGCUUCUGAAUGAAAGUACAAGAAACUGGAGGCUAAUUUAUAAUGAAGAAACUCUCACAACGUAAUAUAAUUUAUUUGAUGUGAGUUUUUUCACCGAUAUACUUUGGCCUCCGCAAUAAACUUAAGUAGAAAAAUUAGAUGUCGAUAAUAGUGUUAUAGUGCUCUUAUGCAUAUAUCUUACUAAAGCAUCGUGGUGUUCAAACACUAUUAAAACAGGAGGCACUGGAUCAAGUACCUAAAAACAAAGGAUUUCAUAACACUUGAACUCGUCACUCCUGAAUGUUUAAUUCGCGCCAAAUACCACUAUAUUGAAGUUGAA